UACGGGGGGGGCAAGCGUUGUUCGGAAUUACUGGGCGUAAAGGGCUCGUAGGCGGCCAACUAAGUCAGACGUGAAAUCCCUCGGCUUAACCGGGGAACUGCAUCCGAUACUGGAUGGCUUGAAUCCGGGAGAGGGAUGCAGAAUUCCAGGUGUAGCGGUGAAAUGCGUAGAUAUCUGGAGGAAUACCGGUGGCGAAGGCGGCAUCCUGGACCGGCAUUGACGCUGAGGCACGAAAGCGUGGGGAGCAAACAGG
rnacentral:rRNA from 1 species